rnacentral:lncRNA from 1 species
AGACAACAGAAACUUCUGAGAGAAUAGAGAGACAGGCUGAGGAAAGCAAGAGAGUCUCAAUGUGCUGCUAAGUGUGAUCAGACAACAAUGGAAAAUAUUGCAGCCAUUCACAUGAACAAGCAAUGAAUGCCACAUUUUGUCCUGCUUCAAGUCAAGCCACAAGCAUGGCUUCGCUUCACUGUUGGAAACAGCAUGGAAACAUGGAAUAUGCAGUGCUACCGCACUGUGCCUCCUCACUGCUGCAGCCUGAGUCAUUCAGAAGUCGCUGCAAAUAGGAUGGGAGCCCACACCAGUGCCAUCACAGCUUCUGUCUCUUAAGUCUGACAGAGCAAGCCUGAAGUUACACGGCUGUGAUAUCUGCUAUUAUUACAUGACAAGAAGAAAAUGUUCCUGAAUAAGACUGACUUUUAAUCCUGAGAUAAUCAAUUUCUAUUACUUGAAGACUCU